UACGUAGGGGGCGAGCGUUGUCCGGAUUUAUUGGGCGUAAAGAGCUCGUAGGCGGUUUGGCAAGUCGGGUGUGAAAACUCCGGCUCAACUCGGAGACGCCACUCGAUACUGCCAUGACUCGAGUCCGGUAGGGGAGUGCGGAAUUCCUGGUGUAGCGGUGAAAUGCGCAGAUAUCAGGAGGAACACCGGUGGCGAAGGCGGCACUCUGGGCCGGUACUGACGCUGAGGAGCGAAAGCGUGGGGAGCGAACAGGA
rnacentral:rRNA from 1 species